CACAUAUGUGUGCCUGCGCUACCAACUGAGCUAACCGGCCACUAGGACUGUGUUCUACAUGGUUAGGGUUAUGGCCAGGGCCACAGCCUUAGUUAGGCUGCUAAUGAAAGCAAAUGCAGCUAAAUUAGUCUCUUUCAAAAGUGUUGGCUAAGUUACUAAACUGGGAGGAAAAAGCCUCGUAGAAGGAAGAAG